UACGUAGGGGUGCAAGCGUUUGUCCGGAAUUAUUGGGCGUAAAGAGCUCGUAGGCGGUCUGUCGCGUCGGCUGUGAAAACUCGGGGCUCAACCCCGAGCCUGCAGUCGAUACGGGCAGACUAGAGUGCUGUAGGGGAGACUGGAAUUCCUGGUGUAGCGGUGAAAUGCGCAGAUAUCAGGAGGAACACCGGUGGCGAAGGCGGGUCUCUGGGCAGUAACUGACGCUGAGGAGCGAAAGCGUGGGGAGCGAACAGG
rnacentral:rRNA from 1 species